GCCAGCAGCCGCGGUAAUACGAGUGGUCCAAGCGUUAUCCGGAAUUAUUGGGCGUAAAGCGUGCGUAGGUGGAUUUGUUAGUCGAUAGUUUAACCCACGGGCUCAACCUGUGGAUCGCUAUUGAAACGUCAAAUCUUGAGGAUGUGAGAGGUGAGUGGAACUAAUAGUGUAGGGGUGAAAUCCGUUGAUAUUAUUGGGAACACCAAAAGCGAAGGCAGCUCACUAGCACAAUCCUGACACUGAGGCACGAAAGCGUGGGUAGCGAAUGGGAUUAGAUACCCCAGUAGUCCACGCCCUAAACGAUGCAGACUCGCUAUUUUGAGUAUCGACCCUCAAAGUGGCUAAGCUAACGCGGUAAGUCUGCCGCCUGGGAAGUACGAUCGCAAGAUUAAAACUCAAAGGAAUAGACGGGGAGACGCACAAGCAGUGGAUUAUGUGGUUUAAUUCGAUGAUAAACGAAAAACCUCACCAAGAUUUGAAACUAAGACGUAAGGCCUAGAAACAGGUCCCCCGCAAGGCGGCUUAGCAGUGAUGCAUGGUCGUCGUCAGCUCGUGUCGUG
rnacentral:rRNA from 1 species